CCUACGGGAGGCAGCAGUGGGGAAUCUUGCACAAUGGGGGAAACCCUGAUGCAGCAACGCCGCGUGAGUGAAGAAGUAUUUCGGUAUGUAAAGCUCUAUCAGCAGGGAAGAAGAUGACGGUACCUGAGUGAGAAGCCCCGGCUAACUACGUGCCAGCAGCCGCGGUACUACGUAGGGGGCAAGCGUUAUCCGGAUUUACUGGGUGUAAAGGGAGCGUAGACGGUGAGACAAGUCUGAAGUGAAAGCCCGGGGCUCAACCCAGGGACUGCUUUGGAAACUGCCUGACUGGAGGGCUGGAGAGGCAAGCGGAAUUCCUGGUGUAGCGGUGAAAUGCGUAGAUAUUAGGAAGAACACCAGUGGCGAAGGCGGCUUGCUGGACAGUAACUGACGUUGAGGCUCGAAAGCGUGGGGAGCAAACAGGAUUAGAUACCCCUGUAGUC
rnacentral:rRNA from 1 species